UACGAGGGGGCAAGCGUUGUUCGGAAUUAUUGGGCGUAAAGGGUGCGUAGGCGGUUUUGUAAGUCUUGUGUGAAAUCUUCAGGCUCAACUUGAAGACUGCACGAGAAACUGCAGGGCUUGAGUGUGGGAGAGGUGAGUGGAAUUCCUGGUGUAGCGGUGAAAUGCGUAGAUAUCAGGAGGAACACCUGUGGCGAAAGCGGCUCACUGGACCACAACUGACGCUGAGGCGCGAAAGCUAGGGGAGCAAACAGG
rnacentral:rRNA from 1 species